GAUCAUGGCUCAGAGUGAACGCUGGCGGUAGGCCUAACACAUGCAAGUCGAACGGCAGCACAGUAAGAGCUUGCUCUUAUGGGUGGCGAGUGGCGGACGGGUGAGGAAUACAUCGGAAUCUACCUUUUCGUGGGGGAUAACGUAGGGAAACUUACGCUAAUACCGCAUACGACCUCGGUGAAGCAGGGGACCGUCGGGCCGUUCGCGCGGAGUAGAUGAGCCGAUGUCGGAGUUAGCUAGUUGGUCGGGG
rnacentral:rRNA from 1 species